rfam:Oryza barthii chromosome 8, whole genome shotgun sequence.
AAAAAGGCAAACCCUGGGUUUCCGUGUCCAACGUUUGACUGUCCGUCUUAUAUGAAAUUUUUUUAUAAUUAGUAUUUUUAUUAUUGUUAAAUAAUAAAACAUGAUUAAUACUUAAUGCGUGACUUGUCUUUUUAAUUUUUUCAAAUAAGAUACACGGUCAAACGUUGGACACGUAAACCCAUGGUUUGUCUUUUU